GUUCAAUUGGGGAGGAAGAUUUAAAUGUUCCCAGUUCAGGCCUCCAGCAGAAACAGAAGCAAUUAGAGCUUGAAUGGUUCCUACCUCAUUGUGAAGUGUUGUGUGCAUCUCCAUGUAAUUCCUGCUAAGCUUGUGAUGCAGCUUGAACUCAGCGGAUGGGCCAGGUUACAUCAUGGGAGAGCAGAAGGACAAAACUCGUUAGUUUGGAAGCCUGUUCUGGAGACAGACACGAUGCUUGUUUGUGCACCCAAGUUUUUUUUUUUUUGCCUCCUUCCAUCACAAAGAAGAAUGGAGACAUCGUGCCAUCUGAAUGUGUUCUACUUCCCAGCAGCAUAGACUUAUCAUUAGCAGGAACAAAAAGAACGUGUAAAAGAAAAGGCCACAAAUGAACCUGAGAGAAGAUUUUAUGAUGAUCGUCAGCCAUGAUGUCGCAACUCAGGACAGCAUCAUUGCUCAGAGUAAGCUGGAGGCAUUCCUGAUUUGAAGGCAGCUGGUCAGUAAUGGACAAGAAUAGAAUUAAGCAAAAUAUCCAGUGGUUUGAAGAUGUCUUGGAACCAGGUCAUUUAAAAGGUAGAUAAUCCUAAGAGGUCUGACAACCGUAUUAACAUCCAAACCACAAAUGAUGGGUAAUAUGAAAAGCUGGAUUUUCUGACAUACACCCUUUACAUCUGCUUUCUGCAUCAG
rnacentral:lncRNA from 1 species